rnacentral:lncRNA from 1 species
GCUGGGACACUCCUCCUCCUCCCAUUGGCCCGUUCCCUCUCCCUCCGACACCGUUGCCUUCACGUGCUCUCCCCCUCUCCUUCUGCCACGUGUCCCUCCUCCCACUAGCUGUACCCGAUACUCGCCUGACACGUACUACGCCGGACACGUGUCAACCUUCCCCCAACUAUUUAAAGCCCCCUUCCUGCCGCCCCCUUCCUN